CACGGAGUCUUCCGUCUUCGUAUCCUCUCCAUCUUUCGUAUUUCAAUUCCUCUUUGGGCGUCGCUCUUGCGAUCCUUCGUGCUCUUCCGUCUUGGUAUCUUUCGUGCUCUUGCGAUCCUCUGCUCCCUCGAUCCCUAUCUUCCGAGACCAUUCUGAGAUGUUGGUCUCAUAGACAUCCUGAUUCUGACCCAAUUCACUGCUAUAAACGAGCAACACGAUCGAGGAAUCCAAUCUCAAGAAGAGAUCUGGAGGUAGUGUCGCAAUAUUUGAUACCAGGUAGGCUCAGCUCUUAAAAAACGAUCAGUUCGUCUUUCGUCUUCCGUCAUCCGUCUUCCUCAAAUCAGAUCUGCGACUUCGACUUUCGGAAGGAGGAGAGGCUCCUCGAGGUUGCAGCGCAUACUUUAUUCUCUUGUCGUCAAGAUAUCAGAUUUGUACAUCUUAGUGAAGCGAAAACUUGCUGAACUUGGACUUCUGCAGAGGUCUAAAACUCUAUCCAGAAUUCUUGAAACUCAAACAAUAUGGGUGACAAGAGUGACAUUAGUAUGGAGAAAAAUUCCAGCUGCAUGUUGUGCACUUCACAAUUUCAUACAUCGAGAGCAUGCUUUGGAUAGGUUGUUUACUCAAUACUCAUCGGAGGUGAUGCUAGUUGAGCAGGACGAAGCAGAGUCGAGCCAAAGUACAGCAGUUAUAGACUUUGAUGUCACCCAAAAUGCUCAAAUGGGACUCGCUAGAGAUCAAAUCACAACACAAAUGUGGGCUCAUUUUUCGAGCAAUGCUUGUUAAUUUGAAUUUUAGUGUAUUGUAAUGUAGUAAGAGUGAAGCAAACCUCAAGUGGAUUGGAUUUGGCCUAAA